UGGACUAGAAGGAAUUCUGGAUUCAUUGAACAAACAUUAUAAUGAGAGUGAUACAAGACUACUAGAAGUACUUGGGACCCCUGGACUUAAAGGCCAGAAGGGAGAUGUUGGUCAGAAAGGAGAAUUGGGAAUGACAGGCGCGAAAGGAGAAAAGGGAGAGCCUUCUGAAAAAGGGGACAAGGGAGAUCCAGGAGAGACUGGAAUGCAGGGAUCGAAAGGAAAUAAGGGUGAAGUGGGAGACCCUGGACCACCUGGUCUUAUCGGAAAUCCAGGAUCAAAGGGACUGCAAGGCCCUCCAGGACCUGUCGGACCCAGGGGACUGCCAGGAGAAGUUGUAUGUAUUGUGCAGUUUCACCAAGCUGUAGCAGUGUGG
rnacentral:lncRNA from 1 species